UUUGCAGAUAACAAAAUGCAUCAAUCCUAAGGAGAUGUUUUUUGCUCUUCUUCUCCUUUAAUUUGCUAUGGGUCAAAUUACAAAUUCGACCUUUGUGUCUUAAUCAACAUACAAGGAAAAAAGAUCCCGAAUUCAUUUUUUGUGUCUCAAUCAAUGUUAGAAGAAAAAAAAAGAGAUAUGAGUUUGUGGACUUUCAAUUUGAGAGGUGUGUGUAUUCCAGAAGGAGAAUAAUAAUCAAAGCUUUCUGAGGCGUGCAAAUAGAGUGGUCGAUUGCUACCGCAACAUAUAAAGGCUUUUUGAGGCGUGCAAAUGGAGUGGUUGAUUGCUACCGCAACAUAUAAAGGGUAACAUUUAAGCUUGAAGUGACAGAUGCAUGUUUGGAUACAAGUUAUGCCAUCGGGAACUUUAGUAAGCUGUCAUAAAAUUAAAAAAUAUAGUUGUACAAUUGUAGAAUUUGAUAUAUUGUUGUGGAAUUAAUUUAAUUCCAAACCUUUUUUCAAACUUCUUUGGAUUGAGCUAGAUAGAUGACAUAUAUAUGUAUGAUGAAAAGAUAAGAUUAAUGAUAAUAAUUGUUUACUAUGUAGAGGGUUAGCAAUUGUAUGUAUGAGUUGGAUAGUGUCAACUUUUAUGAUGUAGUAACUCUCUUGAUUUGUAGAAAAAAUCUUAUCAAUCUCUCUUAUAUAGUCCGGUAAUUGUUUACUAUAUGUAGAGGAGAAACAAUUGUAUCUGUGUUUUGUAUGAUGUGAGCUUUUAUGUUGUAA